GUUCCUGCAGCGCAUUGGAUAGCGCGUUGGUCUCCUAAUCCAAAGAAUGUAGGUUCGAAUCCUACCUGGGAUA